AACGAACGCUGGCGGCAGGCUUAACACAUGCAAGUCGAACGCCCCGCAAGGGGAGUGGCAGACGGGUGAGUAACGCGUGGGAAUCUACCUAGUUCUACGGAACAACAGUUGGAAACGACUGCUAAUACCGUAUACGCCCUACGGGGGAAAGAUUUAUCGGAAUUAGAUGAGCCCGCGUAAGAUUAGCUAGUUGGUGGGGUAAUGGCCUACCAAGGCGACGAUCUUUAGCUGGUCUGAGAGGAUGAUCAGCCACACUGGGACUGAGACACGGCCCAGACUCCUACGGGAGGCAGCAGUGGGGAAUAUUGGACAAUGGGCGCAAGCCUGAUCCAGCCAUGCCGCGUGAGUGAUGAAGGCCUUAGGGUUGUAAAGCUCUUUCACCGAUGAAGAUAAUGACGGUACCCGGAGAAGAAGCCCCGGCUAACUUCGUGCCAGCCGCCGCAGUAAGAC
rnacentral:rRNA from 1 species